rnacentral:rRNA from 1 species
UACGAAGGGGGCAAGCGUUGUCCGGAAUCAUUGGGCGUAAAGAGCGCGUAGGCGGUCCGGUAAGUCGGUUGUGAAAACUGGGGGCUCAACCCUCAGAGGCCGACCGAUACUGCCGGGCUAGAGUCCGGAAGAGGCGAGUGGAAUUCCUGGUGUAGCGGUGAAAUGCGCAGAUAUCAGGAGGAACACCGGUGGCGAAGGCGGGUCUCUGGGCCGAUACUGACGCUGAGGAGCGAAAGCGUGGGGAGCGAACAGG